GGGGGUUGGAGCUAGGUGCCCUCGAAGGCACGGGACACAUAUUUAUAGAGGGUAUUACUUUUCCUCAUAUGGUUAACAGCUUUCUGUAUACACUGUGUGCUACUCUUACAAGAUACUUUGUAGCACCGUUCAUUGUGACUCUAUUUACACGUGUUUCUCUCUUCUACCCUCUCCCUCUUAGAUAUCUUAACGCUUGCUUUACUGUUGGUUCAGUUAUUAUAGGCUGAUGCUGAUUUAUAUAUAUACC